rnacentral:rRNA from 1 species
UUCUUAUAUGAAGAGUUUGAUCCUGGCUCAGGAUGAACGCUGGCGGCGUGCCUAAGACAUGCAAGUCGAGGGGGUUUA